GUGUAGGUCUUAAUGAACUACUUGAAUAAGAUCAUUUCUGUAUAAUCAUGAUACUGUUGUUAUUAAUCACAUCAGCAGUUGUGGACAGGUGCCUGGGCUCCACUCUGGCCCAAUUAAAUAAAAAUUGCUAAUGCUAAAGUCAGGUCUUAUGUUUUUGAAAAGCUCAGUGCACGACCUGGGGCUGGGGUGGGAAGACAGUGGACUUGAAAAGUGGGCAUAUGUGACUUGAGAAGAGCUAUGAUCAUGAUCCUCAAGUCUCUAUUCUUGCUAAGAGGAUUGGGGAAAGUGAUUUGAGAGUUGAAGGGGUAGUUGCUACUUGAUGGCAGGAUCAAAGACGGUAGAACAGUUUAGGUGCUGUUUAGUUCCAGCUCCUCUUUUGGUCCGUCCCACUAUUCAUUCCUUCAUUUAUUUACCAGAAUUUUACCAAGUGCCUCUCAUGUGCCAGCUGUUAUAUUAAGCAAAGAGAUUAUAAAGGUAGAUAUCAAACAAAAACAAAACAUUAGCAACUCCAUUUUGAACUAUGGACAAGGUGAUCUAUCCAGAAAAGGAACAGUAUAGAGCAAAGCACACCAACAAACCAACCAAUCAAAAACAAACGAACUACUGAUAAGUGUGACAGUAUGGGUCAAUAUAAAAAUAUGUGCUGAAUGAAAGAAGCCUAAUACGAAAAAGUACAUACUGUAUGAUUCCACUUUAUGAAAUUUUGGAACUGGCAGAACUAAACUAUGAUGAUAGAAGUCUGAUCACUUGUUGCUUAAGAAAGGAGUGUGGAUUGACCUGGAACGUGCACAAGGGAACUGUCUAGGGUGAUGGAAAUAUAUUGUCUCUUGAUAUGCACGUGACAAAAUUAGACUGAAUAGUGCACAGAAGAUCUGAGCAUUUCACUCUAAGUUAAUUAUAUAUAAACUAAAAANNNNNNNNNNNNUUUUAUAGAAAAAUAACAUGUUUCUGUCCCUUUUCCUGUUAGCUUGAGAGAGCCUGGAGGUCAGGCACCAGAAUCUUACUGAUUUUUCAUUUUAGUAUCUGCUACAGUGUAAAGAUAAGAUAAAUGUUUAUGGAAUGAAUAAAGAAUAACAAUAUCUAACCUGAAAUCUAAUACUUUAUCUAUAACAUCCCAAAUGAUGAC
rnacentral:lncRNA from 1 species